ensembl:snoRNA
GUCCAUUGUUGAGCUCCCUCUUGGGCUGUUGUCACUGAACCACAGUGAUGGAGCUGAGGGUCUGAGGAG